CAAUUGACGAGGAAGGCUCCUUUCUCGUUCCCCAUCAUCACAGAGCUUUGAUUAAGUGGAGAAAGCACUGUUCCUGGGGGCCAGAAGACCGUGUGGAUGAAGAAUGCUCUGUGCCUAUCGCCACUCUUAAUUCUCAAGGGCUGGAGGAGGGCAUCGCGACUGCCCUGUGGGCCGACUGCAGACUUUGCUCACUCGCUUUAUGAAAGCAGCCUCAGCAGGCAACAGCAUUACGCAAAGACUACGUCAGGUGCCGAGAGCUGAACGGAUGCCAAGACUCAGGAGUGCCCAGUCUUCCACAUCAGCUCUGCUGCCAGACCUUCUGAAUCUUCUCACCAUUAGAAAAAUCUACCCCCCAGAAUCGCAGAUGCUCUUCUCCCCCCACUGGCUCUGCACAGAACAUCAUUAUCUUCGCCGAGCUUCUGUCUCUAUGGCAAUAACAGAUGGGAAGUGCUUCAGAAUUAUUCAUGUUCUGGAAAGGAGGCAUCAAGGAAGGGAAGGUGGGGGCUGGAGGGAGCACGACCCGGGAGCAGGGCAAUGGGGGCUUAAGGAAGGGAACGUAGGAGUCGGGGGAAUGGUGGACUUGUGAGCCUGUGGUAGGCCGCUGGGAGGAAAAUAGGAAAAAAAAAUCUAGGAGCACAACAGUAUUCUCAGUCGGUCGCUCCGAAUAUGGACCCCAUUUGAGAGACUCGAAGCAGUAAAACCAGGAGAAACUGGAUGAAAAUGGGCAUAGAAGGAAAAAAAAGGGACAAAGCUCGAGUCUUCUGAAUUCCGUGCACUGACACUCGGUGGACUAUUUCAGUUCCUGAUCUUGGGGCUGGGUGGAGAAAAGGGGAAUUUUUUUUUUUUUUUUUUUUUGGUGUUUCAAAAUAUGACGGAGCAGCUUGCCGGAGUUCAACAUGCUAACAGUCUCUAGUGGGAACACAGACCGGGAAGACCACUCUACUGAGGUUCAAAGCCGAAAGCCCUUAAACCGUAUCUUCGUCUCGUGUUCCCCUUUAUAACAGACCCUCCAAAACAAAAAACCUUCAGUAAACUGUCGAAACAUGUAAUGUCUUGCUCCUGUUUGGAACCGAGGGAGCAAUCUGCUGGGGGUGGUGGUGGCUGAGAAGUAGAGACACAGUAUUUUCUCCCGGUUUUGCCGGAACUUUGGGCAGCCUCAGGCUGGGCUCGAUGGCGGAUGGAGGU